UUCAUUAUUUUGGGUAUGUUUUCAUUUCAUUGAACAAAGCAUCUCCUCAAAACCUUUCACAUUUUUGGCAAAGCAUAUCUGCUUUUCUUCUUUGUUGUACUACUAAACCAGGCCAGGCUCCCACAACCACUCGUUUUCAUCCUCAUCCACAUUCCCACUCUCUAUAAAAUUAUAACAUCCUCUCAACCUCAAUUACACCAUCAUUUCUUAGACCCUCUUGGGUGAGAAAGAAAAUUAUUUUUAGGUGAAGUCUCACAGAGGAAGGGAUUUCUAUAAGGGAAAAAUUUUAUUUAUUUAUUUUAAAAAAAAUUUCCUUUAUAAAAAUCCUCUACUCUGUGAGACUUUCCGUUCUUUGAUUUUGAUUUUGUUGAGGCUCUAAAGUUCGUUUGUGUUUCUGUUAUUUGAUUUUGUUAAGUGAAAAAAUCAAACAUCUUACAAAAUCCUCUACACACAGACCUUCAACUCAAACAUUCUUACCUUCACUCACAUUUUCAUCCCUUAAGUCUCAAACAAAACCACCCACUCUGACCCAACAUCAAACGUGCACCUUGAAAAACACUCAUAAACUCUCUCUCUCUCUCUCUUCAUCGCUACUAAAACCCCACCAUAAAUCUGCCUUUACCAAAAAAGUUGCAGCCAGACAUGUUGAUCUCUUUCCAACAUCGUUAUUAUUGCUACAACGAAUCAGUAAAACCAUUUUGGACAGUUCCAACUGCUCUUAGAGUUGGGUCAAUUUUCCUAAACUCGUCUAAUAUGGGUUGGUCAAAUUGAGAGAAGAAGGAAGAAAGAGAGGUGACUGGGUUCAAUCUAGAGGUGGCAGGUCGCUCGUCGACGAGCGUCACGAUGGGUUCGAUCUAGAGAUGGCAGAGGCAAGAUUGGUGACAUGGGUCUGAUGACGGCGAGAUCAGUGGGUGAGUCUGAAGGAGGUGAUGGCGGCGAGAUUGGUGGUGGGUCUGAAGGAGGCGACGACAACGAGAUCGGUGGGUGGGUCUAAUACCGGCGAUGAGAUCGGUUGUCUUCUUCACUUUCCCUUCUAGCUCUCUCUCUUUCUGUCUUCAGAUUUGCAAGUUUGGUUUAAUCCUUUUGGGCUGAGUCAACCCAUCUCAAUAAUGCCCUAGCUUGUGGAGAGAGAGAGCCACUAUUGAUGCUAUCAACGAGUGGUGGCGUGUAAGAAGAAGGCAUAUGAUUGGGCAUUGAAAGGGAAAGUGUUAGCUUAGAGUUGAGAGAAAGAAGGCAUAUGAUUUGGGGCUGACAAAUUACCAAUAUUAAGUUGUUAGGAAAGAGUGAAAUUAAUUAUUUAAUUUACAUUUUAACACUUUCCUUUUAUGUAUAACUUUAGACUCUGUGUUAAUAAGUGGAGCUCAAUAUAUGAGAUUUUUUAAAACUUUUAAAUAAAAGGUAAA